UACGUAGGGGGCAAGCGUUGUCCGGAAUCAUUGGGCGUAAAGAGCGCGUAGGCGGUCCGGUAAGUCCGCUCUGAAAGUCCGGGGCUCAACCCCGGGAGGCGGGCGGAUACUGUCGGGCUAGAGUUCGGAAGAGGCGAGUGGAAUUCCUGGUGUAGCGGUGAAAUGCGCAGAUAUCAGGAGGAACACCAAUGGCGAAGGCAGCUCGCUGGGACGGUACUGACGCUGAGGCGCGAAAGCGUGGGGAGCAAACAGG
rnacentral:rRNA from 1 species